rnacentral:rRNA from 1 species
CUUGCUUUCUUUGCUGGCGACCGGCGCACGGGUGAGUAACACGUAUCCAACCUGCCCUUUACUCGGGGAUAGCCUUUCGAAAGAAAGAUUAAUACCCGAUAGUAUAAUGAUUCCGUAUGGUUUCAUUAUUAAAGGAUUCCGGUAAAGGAUGGGGAUGCGUUCCAUUAGGUUGUGGUGAGGUAACGGCUCACCAAGCCUUCGAUGGAUAGGGGUUCUGAGAGGAAGGUCCCCCACAUUGGAACUGAGACACGGUCCAA